ACAUCUCUUGAUGAACCUGAAGUAGAAGGAGCUCCACAGGGAUGUUUGAAACCAAUGAUAUUCAGAUAUUUCUGCUGGUCUGAGUGUCCCAGAAAGAAACCAGACUGAAGGGGAAAAGUAGAGCAGUUCCAGGAGAAAAUCCUUAUGAAUAAAGAAGUUUAUCCAAGGGCACAGCAGAGCAGCAAAGCAUGUCGGCCAGGCAGCAGGGUUGGGCGGCUCCCUGGGAGGCUGGGUAGAGCUUGUCUGGCUUCCCCCGCCUCAGUGCAGUAUGCUCCAGAAAGGAGAGGGCUGGGGUGUAAAGGAACCGUAGCAUGUACACUCCAGUGCCAACAGAGGGGUGAUCCAAGGGAGCUGGUGGCAGCCGGGGAGUGGCCUCUGUGAGGGGAAUGGAGCAGGAGAAUGGAGGAAGGGGGUCUGUCAGGCACAUGACGGAAGUGGCCAUGCCUCCCUCCAGGUGCUUCUGGGAGCAAAGUGAUCUAGUAGAAGGGGGCAUUCAGAUCUCAAAUGAAAACGCAUCUAGAAAUCCCAAGGAAUGUUUUGGAAGGGGGAUCAUGAGGGGGUAAAAUAGAAUUUUUGCUGGGAAAAGAAGCAGGAGGAGGGAGAAUUACAAGGUCACUGUAAAUGUGAAGUGUGUGUAUUUUCUAACAAAUGAAACUUGCUGGAAACUAAAAGCUUUGUGUAACGCGUGCUGCUAUGAGCCUGGAAUUUUUCCAUGCUAUGAAAUAGAUGGUAAGCCUUAGCCAGAGCGGGGAGGGAAACAUCCCAGUUAGGUUUCAAUCCUCUUCCUCGUGUCCCAUGGAGCAGAUUGUCACUGGGAGUCCUCUUCUUGCAGUGGUGUCCUUAUUUCUGAGACCUGGACUUUGCCUAGGCGGGUGCUGGAGGAACAGUCUCGGAGUGCAAUGUUGUCGUUGGAUUCAUAGGAAGCUCUACCUCUCUCCACUCGGGCUGGUGAAGUUUGCAGUGGCCACUAAAGACCUCUCAGGCCAGCCCAAGCCUGCUGCGCCUGUUUCUGUGUUCUCUUUGGCAAUUGCAUUCUCUUUCGGACCCAGCUUCCUCCUACAUGUUGUGGUCAUCAGAGAGGUGUUUUUUAAACUAAUCUCAACAGCUAAAUACAAACUCAGAAAGACUCUGUUGGACAAAAAAAAAAAAAAAAGGGCAGGAAGUGGGGGAUGAGGUUUACAUUUUAACAUAAAAAGCUCCUGCUUGAAAUUAGAGGCGAACUUUCCCCUUUUAGUCUAAAAUAUGUAUACCUAUCCAUUCCUCAUACAACGAGUGACAAUGAGCGUCUCUCCAGCCUCCCAUCCCAUACAUACUCUUGCCGUAGUCACCAAUGACAAAUAUAUUUGGUCAAUUUUGUGCCUGUGAUUAAAGCAAACCUCUAUAGAGCAGGCCCUCAGGCCAGCCCCGAGACUCCACUGACCACCUCUAGUCAUUUUGUUUCCUAACCUGCCCCUCCCAGUGUCCUGAGGCCCAACCUGUUGCCAACCAUGACCUGGCUGAGUUUCUUGCUGGCCCCCAUUUUGUCCUUUUCAGAAGGCCAGCAGGACCCAGCUAACAGAGCUAGUGCUUACAGGGAGAAGGGCCUCAAAGGUGGGGUAGACAGGAUGUUGAACUCCAAAGUCGGUUAAAGUUAAGAGGGAAAAGUACCACUGCAAUCUACAGAGGCAGGUUCAGAAUUUGGAAAUUCAGGUUUCCUGGAGAAUCCCUCGGGCGGAAGUUCACACCUCUGGCAAAGGCCUCAUGACACUAUGGAAAGCUCACAGGUUUCGGUUCUUAUUCUGCGGUGAUCUGUCAGUGUUCAAAGUCAGUUGACCAACAUCAACUGUGUUGUGCAUGACUAACUCUUAGGAAGGAGGUAACUGAAGCCAGUUUUGCAGACAUGAACCAACGGCCAGUAGAAGUGUUCUGGACAUUGUGCAUGAGUCCGUCCCACUGAGGUGGACUGAAAAGCCAUGAAAAGAAAAAAACCAAGUGGCCUAAAGAUACACCUUUAGCGACAUUCCUCAGUCUUUCAAAACAUGGCUAGAAAACACAAGCCUUCCUAGUUACGGUAAGUUCAUCCUACUGAGAAAUCCAACUUUUUUCAAAGCGAAAAUAAGCCAUGAAUUCAACCAUUCAGCCAGACUUGGAGAUUAUGAAGAUUCCUGGCUCUUGGGCUCCUACUUACUUGCCAGAAAUAUCAAAAGACAUCAGG